CUACGGGAUGCAGCAGUGAGGAAUAUUGGGCAAUGGGGGCAACCCUGACCCAGCCAUGCCGCGUGAGUGAAGAAGGAUUUAGGUUUGUAAAGCUCUUUCGGAUGUGACGAUGAUGACGGUAGCAUCUAAAGAAGCCCCGGCUAACUUCGUGCCAGCAGCCGCGGUAAUACGAAGGGGGCAAGCGUUGUUCGGAAUUACUGGGCGUAAAGGGAGUGUAGGCGGCGUAGCAAGAUAGGGGUGAAAUCCCGGGGCUCAACCUCGGAACUGCCUUUAUAACUGCUAUGCUAGAGUUAUAGAGAGGAAGAUGGAAUAUCCAGUGUAGAGGCGAAAUUCGUAGAUAUUGGAUAGAACACCAGUGGCGAAGGCGAUCUUCUGGCUAUAUACUGACGCUGAGGCUCGAAAGCGUGGGGAGCGAACAGGAUUAGAUACCCGUGUAGUC
rnacentral:rRNA from 1 species